GUGUAUAUAUACAUAUAUACAUAUAUGUGUAUAUAUACAUAUAUACACAUAUGUGUAUAUAUGUAUAUAUGUGUG
rnacentral:pre_miRNA from 1 species